rnacentral:rRNA from 1 species
CUGACCUCAAAUCAGGUAGGACUACCCGCUGAACUUAAGCAUAUCAAUAAGCGGAGGAAAAGAAACUAACAAGGAUUCCCCUAGUAACGGCGAGUGAAGCGGGAAGAGCUCAAAUUUAAAAUCUGGCGGCCUAAGGUCGUCCGAGUUGUAGUCUAGAGAAGUGUUUUCCGUGCUGGACCGUGUACAAGUCCCUUGGAACAGGGCGUCAUAGAGGGUGAGAAUCCCGUCUUUGACACGGACUACCAGUGCUCUGUGAUGCACUCUCGAAGAGUCGAGUUGUUUGGGAAUGCAGCUCAAAUUGGGUGGUAAAUUCCAUCUAAAGCUAAAUAUUGGCGAAAGACCGAUAGCGAACAAGUACCGUGAGGGAAAGAUGAAAAGCACUUUGGAAAGAGAGUUAAACAGUACGUGAAAUUGUUGAAAGGGAAACGCUUGAAGUCAGUCGCGUCUUGCGGGAUUCAGCCUUGCUUUGCCUGGUGUACUUCCUGUUUGACGGGCCAGCAUCAAUUUUGACCGUUGGAAAAAGGCUUUGGGAAUGUGGCACCUCCGGGUGUGUUAUAGCCCUUUGUCAUAUACAACGGUUGGGAUUGAGGACUGCAGCACGCCUUUAUGGCCGGGGUUCGCCCACGUAACGUGCUUAGGAUGCUGGCGUAAUGGCUUUAAGCGACCCGUC